rnacentral:rRNA from 1 species
UACGUAGGGGGCAAGCGUUGUUCGGAUUCAUUGGGCGUAAAGGGUGCGUAGGCGGCGCGGUAAGUCGGGUGUGAAAUCUCGGGGCUUAACUCCGAAACUGCAUUCGAUACUGCCGUGCUUGAGGACUGGAGAGGAGACUGGAAUUUACGGUGUAGCGGUGAAAUGCGUAGAUAUCGUAAGGAAGACCAGUGGCGAAGGCGGGUCUCUGGACAGUUCCUGACGCUGAGGCACGAAGGUCAGGGGAGCAAACGGG